GACGAACGCUGGCGGCGUGCUUAACACAUGCAAGUCGAACGGAAAGGCCCUGCUUUUGUGGGGUGCUCGAGUGGCGAACGGGUGAGUAACACGUGAGUAACCUGCCCUUGACUUUGUGAUAACUUCAGGAAACUGGGGCUAAUACCGGAUAGGAGCUCCUGCUGCAUUGUGGGGGUUGGAAAGUUUCGGCGGUUGGGGAUGGACUCGCGGCUUAUCAGCUUGUUGGUGGGGUAGUGGCUUACCAAGGCUUUGACGGGUAGCCGGCCUGAGAGGGUGACCGGACACAUUGGGACUGAGAUACGGCCCAGACUCCUACGGGAGGCAGCAGUGGGGAAUAUUGCACAAUGGGCGGAAGCCUGAUGCAGCAACGCCGCGUGCGGGAUGACGGCCUUCGGGUUGUAAACCGCUUUCGCCUGUGACGAAGCGUGAGUGACGGUAAUGGGUAAAGAAGCACCGGCUAACUACGUG
rnacentral:rRNA from 1 species